AUGGUGGUGCGGAUCCUGCUCGUGCGGUUCGGCUGCCGGAACCGGCCCUUUUACCGUGUCAUGGCCGCCGACAGCCGCUCCCGUUGCGACGGCAAGCACCUCGAGGUCCUCGGCUACUAUAACCCGCUCCCCGGGAAGGAUGGUGGCAAGAGGAUGGGGCUCAAGUUCGACCGGGUCAAGUACUGGCUAUCUGUUGGGGCACAGCCCUCAGAUCCCGUGUUCUUCCUCCACCUCCGUUGCUAG
rnacentral:rRNA from 1 species